rnacentral:rRNA from 1 species
CCCUUAGACGUUCUGGGCCGCACGCGCGCUACACUGACGAAGGCAACGAGCUUUCCUUUACCGAAAGGUACGGGUAAUCUUUUGAAACUUCGUCGUGCUGGGGAUAGAUCCUUGCAAUUUUUGAUCUUAAACGAGGAAUUCCUAGUAAGCGCAAGUCAUCAACUUGCGUUGAUUACGUCCCUGCCCUUUGUACACACCGCCCGUCGCUACUACCGAUUGGAUGGUUUAGUGAGGCCUUCGGAUCCGCGACUCGUUUUGUGGAGAAGUUGGACAAACUCAGUCAUUUAGAGGAAGUAAAAGUCGUAACA